GGUGAAAUGUUUUACUUCUUCAUGGCAAGGGCAGCUGAGGUAUCACAUAGAGUUUGCUAAAGAAGACCUUCACACGCUCUCUCAGGAAGAAAGCCAAAGGUCCUAUUUGCCUAGAAUGGAUCGAUCGAAUCUUUGUAUAUCUAGUUUAAAGGAUAUUAUCCUGAUAACUUUGCCAGACUUUGCAUUUCCCAUAUUAAAGGUGACCCAGAGCCCAGAAUUUAAUUCACCAAUAAAAAGAUGUAAACAAUCAGUUAAACAAUUUAGGGGAGAGAAGAGAAAAAGAAAAAAAAGAGAGAAAAAUCAACAAUAACCCUGUCACAUUUGGCUAUAAGACCAAUUGAAAUUAAAAUUAUUGUUUUCUUCCUUUAAUUCAGGAAAUCUUAUUCUAUUGAUAGCUGAUGUCACAGAGAAAACUGUUACUGAGAGCAGCAUCGAUUAAAAAAAAAAAAUAAAAUCUCCCAAGCUCGUUCAGGUGAAUGGAACAAUAAUAAAAUAUCCUCCCUUAAAUAGUACCAAGUUCUCAUCACAUACCCCAGGAUUAAGCUGUGUGAAUGGGCAACAGGAAAAACCCAGGAGUCUCCGAUUACAGGAAAGAGCAGCUAUUUAUUUAUUUAAUUCCCCCCCCCUUCUCACUCUGGAAGGGGAGGAAAAAAAAAAGCCCUUGUAACCGACUCCAAGAGCUGCCCCUGCUUGGGAGUUUGAACACAGGAGGAACAAGAUAAAUUCCUCAAAAUUCUAAUUGGGGAACAGUUGACUUAAUUGGUGGCCAUUUGGCAGACAAUGGGAAAGGAGCCCUCGCUGGCGCUGAUGGCACCCCAGGGGGAUAUAACCUUGCAACAGGCCAGAAAGCUCUGGGGACAGAUUGUUUCCUGAGAAGAAACCAUGAGACCAAGGGUUGGAUUAACCCUCCAACUGUCAAGCUUUAUUAGGAGUAAUCAGGCUAGAUAUAGCAAGGGUUAAACACAGGAAACCGAACUGGCCAUGAUGACAUAUGUCUCUUUAAAAGCAAGGAAAGGGAGGAGGGGAGAGAGAAGGAUUUGGGGAAGAAAAUACAUCUAAAUGAACCACAACGUAAUUCUUUCUGGUUCAAAUGAGGUAUCUGCUGGUGCCGCAUGUCACCUACUCAGAGGGUCUGACUUUCCCUGGAUUUACGGGCUCUUGCUAACGCUGCAGCAGAGCCCGUAUUUUGGUCAGAACAGAGUGUCCAUGGCAACCCACUGGCCAACACAGGGAAAAGUUGUCAUCUUACCAAAAAAAGCCCUGAGGACUGAAAAUGUGAUACAGAAGAAUAUAUGGGAAAUGUGGCUACGUCACCUUGGUCACUACCUGGCCAAGGCAAUAUGGCUGCCUUAUGUUCACUUUCUUUGUAGUCCAGAUGCCAGUAAGCAACACUGAGUUAGAGGAAAAUUACAUCAGCUCUGUAUUUUUUUCAGUGUAGAACUAAGCCCACCUUCACCUGCCUCUGUAAAGUAAUCCUGAACCCCAUUUUGCCACAGGUCUGUAUCAAAGCUAGCUCAGCCAGGAUGGAGAGUCAGCACCCCUGUUUUUCCCCCAAACUUAUUAGCCAUCAGACUUACUUCAGCUCCAAAAAAUGUGAAUAUGUUUCCAAAAUCAACUUUGCAGAUGGAUUUUGCUUCCAUUAAAUUCCGUGGUGAAAAAAAGCCAUAUAUAGGGUUUAAUUUAAUUACGGGCAUACAGCACUUGCAAAAAAAAAAAAAAAAAAAAAAAAAAAAAAAAAAAAAGCUUCAUAUUUGGAUUUAUGGAAUUAUUUUACUGAAAAAGAAUUACGUUACAUAUUUAAAUCCCUGGAGGCUGCUAAUGUUUUAUUAAAUACAGUGUAAAUCCAGCUAUGACCAUGCAAUAAAACCUCCAAAGGGAAAAAAAAAGAGAGUGUUUUAUAUUUGAUUUCUGCAUGGAACAACUUGGUCUCCUGAAUACUGCCCACAUGCCAUUAUGCUCUCCUUGACAUUAAUCCAUAAUGGGGACUCAAUAUGCUGAACUCCUGCUUAAAUGUACGGAAAGAAUACUGUAAGAUCACACACCACCUGUAAAAUUACACGGAUCUGGCCAACUUACAAAACAAAGCCUUGUGCUAAGCUAUUGUACAAAUGUAUUUAACGUCGGUUAAUAAAAUACACAGAAAUCCA